rnacentral:tRNA from 1 species
GGAGAGAUGCUCGAGUGGCUGAAGAGGCACGCCUGGAAAGCGUGUAUGCGUCAAAAGCGCAUCCGGGGUUCGAAUCCCCGUCUCUCCG